UGUGAAUUCUUGGAAAUUGAACCAGGAACUCCUCGGUCGGAUUCAGAAUGUGGAGUAUCCUCACUUCCCAUAGCUGGAAUCAUAGCUGGUGUUCUAUUUUUUCCGAUAGCCAUCAUGGCUGGUGUUUGUUUAUUUAUGAUAAAAAGAGAAAUGGUGAGAAGAGAAAUAUUGAAAACAAGACAAAACUUAGACCCUCAAAUACCUACACAGGCAUCCCCAGAUCAGGAAAUACCAAUGCUGUCUGGGGGAAAUGAUUCAAGCCCCUGUCACAGUCAGGGAGUCAACAUUGUGUAAUCUGGCUGGUCCAGCCAUCUCUAGUAAAUCUUAACACUACAUGUUAAAUUUCAUAUUGUAGAAUCUGGUUGGUAUAAGGACCACUGUGCCUUUGUAUCACAUGGGGAUGUUUGAAACUUACUCCUCAGCCUGAACUGUCCCCACUUGUGUCACCGAAUAGCUAGCUUUUCAUGUGGGCACCACUGGUAAGAUGCUUCAGAGGGGAGGUCACAUAUCAGCUUCUGCCUACAGCCUACAGACUGGUCUAAAAUGGAAAAGAGCAUGUGAUGAGUAUAAAUUAGCUUCACCUUGCUAGGUAACAGCUUCGGGAGGUGAGAACCCUCUGCUCUGCCUACAGACUGGUCUAAAAUGGAAAGGACCAUGUGAUGAGUAUAAAUUAGCUUCACCUUGCUAGGAAACAGCUUCAGUAGCUGAGAACCCUCUGCUCUGCCUACAGACUGGUCUAAAAUGGAAAAGAGCAUGUGAUGAGUAUAAAUUAGCUUCACCUUGCUAGGAAACAGCUUCAGUAGCUGAGAACCCUCGGCUCUGCCCAGGGGGAAAGUCAAAUGUGUUCAUAACUUCAGGACCACAACAUCUAUGUCAGCCCAGACUAUGGAACUCCAAAUGGGACUUGAUAAUAUCUUGAGACACAGAUUACUGGAUACUGGUGCAGGAUGCAGCUUUCGCUUGGGGAAGGUGCCCCAGAAAUGAGAAACAUCGUCAAAAGGGUGGGAAGGAAAAUUCAAAUGGAUAACUUUUCUACAAUCUUUGCUUUAUCUAAUCCAAUGAAAUAAUGUUAAGAUAUGAUUGACGGUAGGUUGUAUAAAGAGUGUGGUCUCCUGUUUCGCCACACAGAUGUUUACUAUAGACUACUGAGGUAUUCUGUAUGUGAAACUGUCUGCAAUUGCAUUUUAUUACUAAAGCGUUUUAUACCAAG